rnacentral:ncRNA from 1 species
UAGUGUCUUUACAAUAGAAGCUGCUUCAAUAGUCUUUGUAGAGACACUAAUACUAGUUAGUGCCGAAAGUUAUUAAACCGAAUGGAUUUAUAGUAGGUAAUUAAGUUGAAUUAACAACUUCCCUCAAGUGCUAUAUGCCGUAGGGUGGAAAAACAACGUGCCACUGAUCA